UACACACCGCCCGUCACACCACGAAAGCCGGUUGUACUCGAAGUCGCUGAGCCAACCCGCAAGGGAGGCAGGCGCCGAAGGUAUGGUCGGUGAUUGGGGUG
rnacentral:rRNA from 1 species